rnacentral:sRNA from 1 species
UUGAUAUUGGAAGCAGUGUCAGAUUGUUUACCCACAGAACAGAUACAACACAGCCAGUGACAUUCCAAACUUCUUCGCACUACCCAGCAACAUUCCUGAACACUGACAUGGAGGGACCACCUUUAAAGGUAACUAGGGUCCUUCAUUCAGUCCUUGAGAUCU